rnacentral:ncRNA from 1 species
UCCUGACAGAUGUUCCACAUGGAACAAUCUGACACUAGCCACGACAGGAGAACAUAAUG